UACGAAGGGGGCUAGCGUUGUUCGGAAUUACUGGGCGUAAAGCGCACGUAGGCGGGUCGUUAAGUCAGGGGUGAAAUCCCGGAGCUCAACUCCGGAACUGCCUUUGAUACUGGCGAUCUUGAGAUCGGAAGAGGUGAGUGGAAUUCCCAGUGUAGAGGUGAAAUUCGUAGAUAUUGGGAAGAACACCAGUGGCGAAGGCGGCUCACUGGUCCGAUACUGACGCUGAGGUGCGAAAGCGUGGGAAGCAAACAGG
rnacentral:rRNA from 1 species